AGCUCUGACUGCUUAUUGCACCACAUGUGUUUUUCUUUGAAACAAACUUGCUUUGGCGGUGGGCCCAGCCUGCCGCCAGAGGUCUAAACUUACAACCAAUUUUUUAUUAACUUGUCACACCAGAUUAUUACUUAAUAGUCAAAACUUUCAACAACGGAUCUCUUGGUUCUCGCAUCGAUGAAGAACGCAGCGAAAUGCGAUACGUAAUAUGAAUUGCAGAUAUUCGUGAAUCAUCGAAUCUUUGAACGCACAUUGCGCCCUCUGGUAUUCCGGAGGGCAUGCCUGUUUGAGCGUCGUUUCUCCCUCAAACCGCUGGGUUUGGUGUUGAGCAAUACGACUUGGGUUUGCUUGAAAGACGGUAGUGGUAAGGCGGGAUCGCUUUGACAAUGGCUUAGGUCUAACCAAAAACAUUGCUUGCGGCGGUAACGUCCACCACGUAUAUCUUCAAACUUUGACCUCAAAUCAGGUAGGACUACCCGCUGAACUUAAGCAUAUCAAAAGGCGGAGGAA
rnacentral:rRNA from 1 species